rnacentral:lncRNA from 1 species
AAAUAAAUAAAUAAAUAAAUAAAGAGAAUAAGAAAUGGAAUUAGAGGACAACAUCAAUAUCAUGUUCAAGAGCAGUCAUCUUCAUCUGAUGCAUAAAAAAGAUUUGAAAGGAGUUAGCACCGCUCUAGUAUUUCUGUUCAUUUUCUUAUUCAUGUCUGAUACAUCUUGAAAUUAAUGUUGACUGAACUUUCUAGCUGAGUGCAGGGCCUUUCUUUAGUCUUCUAACAGGUAUAGAGCCUGCAACAGUUUUGGGACUGUUCUGGACCAGAAUCUAUUCCUUCAUGAAAAGAGACAGUUAACCGGAAUAGACAAUUAAGUUAAUGGAUAAAAAAAUUAUGACACAUAUUUUGCAAUAUACCUUGACUAAAAUGCACUCAACUCUUGCUUGACUUUUAAAAAAUCUGGCUUCCCUCUUCUCUGGGAGAAUAUGCAUGUCUGAAACUUCAAUUUUCUUCAGCUACAUAAAACAAAUUAGAAGGUCCAACCAAGUUUGUCAACUAAACUUCACAACCCCUCCGCCAAAAAAAAAAAGAAAUAAAUUUAACUUACAAGUAGAAAGUGCGAAAUUGGUGCAAUUCGGAGGGUUGUUGAAGAAGCUUUCCUUAACUAGUUCUACUUGACAGUUGACGCUUUACUUCUUUAUGGAUGCAUUUCUUCUAUGUUUAUCAUGUAUACCUUCAUCCUAACCAUUGAGCCCUAAUUGUCUUGAAUUUGCUUGAUAUUACGCAUGUUACAAUAGGAAAAUUGUUUCUAAUGGCUUGGAGCCAUUUACCAGUUCCACCCACUAUGUUUCUUUGCAGUCUGAUAGUGGUGGAGUAGAAAUUCCUGAGCUUGAGUUAGAGCUUGCUAG